GGAUCAUUACACAAUAUGCAAGCGGGCUGGGAUCCCCGGGAGGGCGUCUAUUCUGCCGUUUCCGCCGCAUCUGCGGUGCUGAAGCGACAGGGCGGGCGUCUUUUCGGCCAGCCUGACUCCAUAUUCACCCAUGUCUUUUGCGUACUACUUGUUUCCUUGGUGGGUUCGCCCACCAACAGGACCAUUUAAACCUUUUUGUAAUUGCAAUCAGCGUCAGCAAAACAAUGUAAUAAAUUACAACUUUCAACAACGGAUCUCUUGGUUCUGGCAUCGAUGAAGAACGCAGCGAAAUGCGAUAAGUAGUGUGAAUUGCAGAAUUCAGUGAAUCAUCGAAUCUUUGAACGCACAUUGCGCCCUUUGGUAUUCCAAAGGGCAUGCCUGUUCGAGCGUCAUUUGUACCCUCAAGCUUUGCUUGGUGUUGGGCGUUUUUGUCUCUGGUCCGCCAGCGACUCGCCUUAAAAUCAUUGGCAGCCGGCCUACUGGUUUCGGAGCGCAGCACAAAUUUGCGCUUCUUCCAGCAGCGGUCCGCGUCCAUGAAGCCACUUUUUCAACGUUUGACCUCGGAUCAGGUAGGGAUACCCGCUGAACUUAAGCAUAUCAA
rnacentral:rRNA from 1 species